UGGGGAAUCUUGCGCAAUGGGCGAAAGCCUGACGCAGCCAUGCCGCGUGAAUGAUGAAGGUCUUAGGAUUGUAAAAUUCUUUCACCGGGGACGAUAAUGACGGUACCCGGAGAAGAAGCCCCGGCUAACUUCGUG
rnacentral:rRNA from 1 species